UGAGGACCUAACCUCCACUAAGGGGAUGUCU
rnacentral:piRNA from 1 species